rnacentral:lncRNA from 1 species
GAAAGCUCACAGGCAGCAGACUUGUGGGUAGGGCUGGUGUAAGGGGCUGGGUGUGGCAGGGCUGCCCUAUCACUGCUGCUGAGAGGAGCCAGGGCCCCGCAUCCUGGCGUUCAAGACACUUCCUGCUCAGUUUUGUCUGCAAGUCACCAGCACAAGCUGAUGCCUCCCAACAGGGCAGGAUCUCAAGGGACAGACCAAAAAGGAGCCAAGCCAGCCCAAGCCACAGUGGAAUUUAGCUGUCACCAAAGGACCUGCCCUGUGUCUUCAGGGCAGCUUUCAUCACAACGAUUGAUGUCAUCCAAUAAAUGUGCACCGGGAACCUACCACAUGCCAGGAUGCAAGCUCCCUGAAGGUUGAAACUAGCUUAUAUUUAAGAAAUCUUAGUUGAAAAGUGAUGUCUCGUAUCCUGGUGAAGAGCAGCAGGCCUGAAUCAGAUCCUCUCUGGUGGCAGUAGCGUAUCAGUUCUCCUCCUAGCCCGGUGCCUCACUAGGAAAAUGUGAAGAACGGUAGUGUGUACCUCCUAGGGUUGGUGUGAGGAUGAAAUGAGCUCGCAUAUGUAGACUUGGCUCGCUUCCUGGAUAUAAUAAAAUGUUGCAGAAUUUGUAAUUAUGGCUGUUGGUUGACAUUACUACUUCUACAACUGUUGCUGUCGCUUGACCUAGUUUUACUUUUUGGGGGAGGGUGGUGGUCCUGGGGAUUGAUCCCAGCACCUUCACAUUGAGCUAUAUCCCC